CCCCAUGCUGCCAGCGGCGUGAUCCACGGUGUGUAGUUUGCCAAUGCUCAAUUUCAUGGAGCAGUUAGUUCAGGUACCGGCUGCAGUUAUCUUGCGUCCAAAAAAACUAAGUGAUGUACAAAACUAUGAUUUUGCCAAGCCCCUACUUGCGUGAGGUACAAAAAAUAGCAAUCUAAUUAGAGGGUUCAGUUUGUUUACCAAGCCCCUGCUUGCGUGAGGUACAAAAAAUAUUUUUAAUCUUGGCAGUUAACUCGGUGUUAACUGCCGCAAUCCUUGGCAGUUAGCUAUUUUACUCCCGGUCGUUAGCUUGAACUGGGCAAAAAACCAAAAAAAUAUUUUUCAAUCCUGACAGUUAACUAUCGCAGUCUCGUUGUUGUUUCUACAGCUUCAGCUAGCAGCAACCACAGCAGGUGGUUACAGUUGGCCAUGCCGGCAGUUAAGAAAGACCAGUUAGAAGUGUGUGUGUGUGUGUGUGUGUGUAUGUGUGCAUGACGAGUUAGCUUAGGACAUGGUUCAUUUUCUUAUGUUGUGUGUUUCCGAGUUGGCUUAGGCCAUGGUUCUUUCUUUGAUGCAGUAGCAGUUCGGUUAUAAAAGGCAGCGACAGUCAAGAAAAAAACUGGAGAAUGGGGAGGACAAGAAUCCAGCAAGGGAGAAGGGCAAAAAAGAAAGCCGGUGAUCAAGGUACAUGUCUGAUUCUUGAUGUGUCUUCAUGAUAACUUCUCAACUAGGACCAUUAAUGUUGUCAUCAGUUUGAGGAGCCAUUGUGUUUCCUGUAAAAAAUAGGUGAUAUAUUUUGCAAGGCAUUUUUUGUUCAGCAGUUAUGUGUUAUUAAGAAAAUAGGGGUAGGUUUGGGUUCUUCUGCAGUUAACUAGAUAAAAGGGGUUCGUCUUCAUCCAUACACGCACGCCAUCGGAUGUGUUUGUGCAUUGUUCAGUUAGCUUCCCUUAUUUCUAGCAUGCAAAACAGUGGAUUCACAAACACAAAAAUCUCUCUCUAUCUCUGUGUGUGUGGAAGUUAGUAGGCAGAGGGCAACAGUUAGGGAAAAAAUUAAUGGUUUAUGUGUUCUAAAAAUAUUUGUUUUUUCUAUGGGUGUUUCAAUUGUCACAGGGUUUGAAAAUUCAGCAGUUAUCCCUUCCAAGAAAAAAGAGUUAAUUUCGAGUGUGAUAGUAGUUCCUGAGAAAAAAAUGUUCUACCCAGAAAAACAGGAAGUUAACAUCAUAAUUUACAGCGGUUAACUUUACAAAUGUAUACUAGUUCGGGGUCUAUAGCAGUUAGUUUUUUUACAAGAACCCGUGUAGCAGUUAGCUGGGUAGAUUUUAUAAGUUAACUUUUACAAAAAAAGUGCAGUUAACAAAACAACAUGUUUUUUCUAAAUGUGAUUUAACUUUGAAGUUGAAUUUUACAAUUUAUAGUAGUUAAAAUCACAUUUUGCAACCGUUUUCACAAAAAGAGCAAAAAUAUGCAUGCAGAUAAAGUAUAGUUGACUUGCAUCCAAAAGGUCGACAGAUGGGAAGAUUUUGCAAAGACUUGAUAUAAAAAAUUGGCAGUUAGCUUGCAAGGUACACAAACAUUUUGGUCAUAACCGGGAUGCAUUGCAGUUUGCUAAAGAAAUCUAAUUUCUAGUGCUCAUAACUCCUUCCAUGUCUGUUUGAUCUUAUUGAGAGCACAAGUGACUGGUUAAUUAUAGCAAUUGCAUACUCUUUUCUCAUCAUUUUAUCAUCUGGUGGUGUUGAACCAGUGACCGUGUUCAGUGCUGCAUUAUGAUGCUCCUGCUUCAUCUUUUGUGUCUGUUUCGUCUUCCCGAGAAUAAAAGUGAGUCAUUUUUAGUGUGUUCUUAUUGUUCUAGUCAUCAGUUUAUCAUUUCACAUGUUCAACCAUCAAAUAGUGUCGUUCAGAAAUACAGAGACUAUAGAUAGUGACAUAUUCUAUUUUAUACUUUUUCAGACUUCCAAGGAAACAAGCAAUUAGAGUGAAAAGGAGAACUUAGAAAAGAAGUAGAGUGCCUAGGAGCUGAUUUGCAACAAGAUAGAGAGAUGGAUCAUGCUCAGUCUGUUGCUCAACUGAAUACCUUGACCACUGAACUAGCCACUUACAAUGAACAAGGUAGAAAAUGUUUGAUAAACUGAAUGUUUGAGAGUUAAAGUGGUUCUUUUAGGCUUGUGCUUUCAGUAAAUUUGGUUUAUAUUCAUGUCACUACUUGGCUUAUUAAUAUCCUUUUGUUCUGAAAAGACUUAUCAUUAUGCUUGUUCUCAAGAAACAGAGACCACUACUCAAUUAGCUCUUGCCCCCAUGCUGCCAGCGGCGCGAUCCACGGUGCGUAGUUUGCCAAUGAUCAGUUUCAUGGAGAAGCUAGAGUUAGUUUCAGGGACUGGCUGCAGUUAUCUUGCGUCCAAAAAAUUUAAGUGAUGUACACAACUAUGAUUUUGCAAAGCCCCUGCUUGCCUGAGGUACAAAAAAUAGCAAUCUAAUGAGAGGGUUCAGUUUGUUUGCCAAGCCCCUGCUUGCGUGAGGUACAAAAGAUAUUUUUAAUCCCGGCAGUUAACUUGGUGUUAACUCCCGCAAUCCCUGGCAGUUAGCUAUUUUACUCCCGACUGUUAGCUUGAACCAGGAAAAAAACAAAAAAAAGUAUUUUCAAUCCUGACAGUUAACUAUUGCAGUCUCGACAGUUAGCUAUUCCAGUCCCAGUGGUUCACUUGACCAGGGAAAAAAUAGAAAAAAAAGAAUAAAAAACAAAAGAAGCAGGAAAAAGUAUUAUCGGCCACUGUAGUUAGCUUGCUCAUCAUGUGCAGUUAGGUAUUUCAUACCCACAGUUAGUGUGACCCAAUCAAAAAA
rnacentral:lncRNA from 1 species